GUUUGUAGCUCAGAGGUAGAGCGCUUGCCUGGCAUGUGUGAGUCCCUGGGUUUGAUCCUCAGUAUCACA
rnacentral:tRNA from 1 species